AUAGGAUCAAUGAUGAUUGAUAAAAACUGCGUUAUCUAUCUGUAAUUCCCUUUAAAGGGAUUGAAGAUAUUCAUAUUAUUCUGAGAUCCGUU